rnacentral:rRNA from 1 species
AUUGAACGCUGGCGGCAUGCUUUACACAUGCAAGUCGAACGGUAACAGGCCGCAAGGUGCUGACGAGUGGCGAACGGGUGAGUAAUGCAUCGGAACGUGCCCAGUCGUGGGGGAUAACGCAGCGAAAGCUGCGCUAAUACCGCAUACGAUCUAUGGAUGAAAGCGGGGGACCGUAAGGCCUCGCGCGAUUGGAGCGGCCGAUGUCAGAUUAGGUAGUUGGUGGGGUAAAGGCUCACCAAGCCAACGAUCUGUAGCUGGUCUGAGAGGACGACCAGCCACACUGGGACUGAGACACGGCCCAGACUCCUACGGGAGGCAGCAGUGGGGAAUUUUGGACAAUGGGCGAAAGCCUGAUCCAGCCAUGCCGCGUGCAGGAUGAAGGCCUUCGGGUUGUAAACUGCUUUUGUACGGAACGAAAAGGACUGCCCUAAUACGGUGGUCCCAUGACGGUACCGUAAGAAUAAGCACCGGCUAACUACGUGCCAGCAGCCGCAGUAACAC